GCAUGGGUUUGGAUUUAUGGCAGGCCCGUCCCUGUAGGCCUCUCACUGUGUCCUGUGCCAGAGCAAACCGUGACUCCGAACCAUUGCCUGGCCUCUGUCCAUAGGCUCCUGGCACCGAAGCGGGUUCCACAGCA
rnacentral:snoRNA from 1 species